CAGCAGCCACGGUAAUACGUAGGUGGCAAGCGUUGUCCGGAUUUAUUGGGCGUAAAGCGAGCGCAGGCGGUCAAUUAAGUCUGAUGUGAAAGCCCCCGGCUCAACCGGGGAGGGUCAUUGGAAACUGGUUGACUUGAGUGCAGAAGAGGAGAGUGGAAUUCCAUGUGUAGCGGUGAAAUGCGUAGAUAUAUGGAGGAACACCAGUGGCGAAGGCGACUCUCUGGUCUGUAACUGACGCUGAGGCUCGAAAGCGUGGGUAGCAAACAGGAUUAGAUACCCCUGUAGUCCCUGUCUCUUAUAC
rnacentral:rRNA from 1 species